GCUAUAAAUACCCGUAAUAAAGAUAUUAUGUUACAUAUGUUAAAAAUGGCGACUGCCGAAUGGUUUAUCCUUAUGACGGUUACUGUAAUAACCAUAUCGGGUGAUCCAGACCCGUGUUUAACAUCAUUUAUAUGGACUGAUGGAGAUGAUAGAAGUAUUAAUUGUAAUGUAAAUUAUGAUAAAUGUGACAGAUAUAUGGAACCAGGAUGGUAUCGUGUUCAAUCAGAAUCUGGUCAAAAUCUCACCAUGCCCACUUCUCCUGUACCAGUAAAUAGUUGUGGUACCAAGUAUCCUAUAUGGUUAAAUGGAGAUCAUCCAAGUUUAUCAGAUGGUAUUGUUAGCCGCAUUGCAUGUGUAACUUAUUACUCCUCGACCUGCUACGCCUCCUUCCAAAUAAGGAUCAAGAAUUGUCAAGAUUUUAUGGCUUACUACCUGGUAAAAGCUAAAGGAUGCAACGAGCGAUAUUGUUUUGGUGAUACUGAAGGCUGUCAACAGCCAACAACCCAGGUACCAACUUCACUUUCUACAGAAGCCCAAGUUACAGACACGGGAGUUACAGGAGACACAUAUGGAUGCAGGACAACAACGCCAAUGCCAACAACAACAACAAAUAUUGGUCCUUUCUUUAUAUCACCUACGAAUUGGAGUUCAGACAUAGUUAGACCAGACACUGUGCUGUAUAUUGCAAUAGCAGUUGUGGUUGUGUUCCUAAUUGGCCUGGUACUGGUGAUGCUGCUAUACACCAAACUGUACAAAUCUCGAAAUAUGGUAAAUGAUCAAAAACAACUGUAUAAAAUAUAAUUCCUGUAAACAGUUGGAAGUUUCAACCUAGUUUUGUUUUAUCCCAAAGGGUUUUCGAACUCAUUCCGUUUCCAUCACAUUUUCUGAACGAAAUUGCAUAUUCAACUAAUCUUUACCCCAACAGAUGAGUAGGCGAAGGCAUUUACCUCGCAUUUAACUCCUUCCAUGGAAGUAAAAUUACCAUAUAGUUGACAAAGCUCACGGUAUUUUGUACUCGGAUGUGUAGAAUUUGUUUUAAUGAUUCAACCUUGACAGUAAAGGAUAGUUUAUAUACAUAUAUUUUACACUCCAGAAAAAUUAAAACAUCUGGAGAUAGCCCUUUAAUAAAAUAAUUAUGGGUCCACAGAAGUGGCACAUCCAAAGUUUUAAAACAGACCAACUGCAAAUACAAAAAUAAAGUACAAUUAUUUUUGUCUGAGUAUAACUCGUGUAACGUGUGGGUUGGUGGCCACGACACUUACGAAUUAUUGUCACCCGCUCCAGUUUGUGUAGCAUUAAAUAUUGGGGAGGGAUAAUAAAAUCUAUUUAUAUAGGCAUAUAUCCAACAAAAAUCACAGUGUUCUGGGAAUCUAUUAACACGUUUAACACCAUCGGCUAACUACUCAUGAACUUCUUCAACGUAAAUGUAUUGUGAAUAUCAAACAAAUUGGGUAAAUAUGCUGGCGGGGUUUAGCGUUCUUUUUCAUCUGCACCGACAUACGGCAUGCAG